AAGAAAAAGGCCCACAGGCAAAGACCCAUGUGAGUUUUUUUUGCCUAUCAAGAAAAGGUUUUUCCAUGGAGUUGUAUGGCAUCAGGGAAAGGUUUUUAUUGAGUUGUAAUACAGCUCCAUCUCAUUGCAUUCCACUAAAGACUCCCUUAGUUGAGGUGGAACACAAUGGAAAGGUUUAAAGGAUAGCAAAUGAGAAUUGCCUACAGAUUAGACCAAUUCUGCUCCAUCGUGAACUUCCAUGUCAAAAAGAUUUAGCAAUCAGCAGCAUCAGCGAAGCCAUUCAACUUCAUGCACAAUUUAUGAAAUCAGGAAGCCGAAUUCGUAAAGACCUCCCGCUUUUGUUCCUUCCCAUGCAUGACUCGACCCAUCAAAAAAUGGAAGAUAGAUUCAUGGGUUGAUUCUAGAAGUUGGUCUGACAUUUAAUUUGUUUGUUUUGUGCAAAACUCGUUGAUUCACAUGUACUCGAAGUUUGGCAACUUGGGUCUUGGAUACGAAGUGCUUGAUGAAAUGCCCGUGACAGAUUUAGGUUCAAUUUGACUUUUGUUACUUACGGGCUCGUUGAAAAUGAGUGUUUUCUAUGAAGCUCAUCGUCUGUUAAUUGCAUUUAUUUGGUUUGAUAUUGAUUAGUAGAGGGCCUGAUUUAACUCUGUCGUUACCAUCUUUCUGGGGUUAUUCAUUAGACAGAAGGCUUUAUAUAUUGUCUUUUCUAUUAAAACUUUUAGAUUCUAUUGAGGCUAUUAGAUUGUUUGAGCUACGCCGGAAGCUGAGGAUGAGACUAGACGAUGCAACGGUUGUUGCUCAUGAGAGCAUGCCCUGAUAUUGGGGAUUUAAUGAUGGGAAGGAGAGUGCAUUAAGGGUGUUGAAAAUUGAGCAUGAUGAGAGAAGAAUAACUACAACGAUAUUUUAUCAGCAUUUUGAAUGCAGUUUGGGUGAAGGAAGGGUUGUUUCUUUUUACACAACUGCAAAUCAUGAAUAGAGUUGAAACAACCAUUCAACAUUAAGGAUGUAUGGUGGACCUUUCCUUUCUGCCAAGGCAAUGCAUUAAAGAAGCUGGGGAAUUUGUAAGAACUAUUCCAGUUGAAUCUGGCAAUCCACUAUGGUGAAAUUUGAUAUAGGGACGUAUUUGAUCGAAUAUCUUGAGCUUCUUGACAAGAAUGUUAGUUGUUUUGGGAGCAAUAAUUGGGAAGUGGCAUGAUAAUUAAUGCAGUGGUUAAGGAUUGAUGGGGUAAUAUCCAUGAAUUUGCAGCAGGAGAAUCAGGUAAUCCUAAAACAGGAAGUGCUGGAGGAAAUAAUAUAUAAUCAACCCAAACAAGAAGGAUUUGAACCAAAACUUCCGGAGAUUUUGCUUUAAGUAGGGAUAAUGCAAAGUUCCUGAAUUACAAGUUACAACACCACAUUGAAAAAUUAGCUCCAAUGCAAAUUCUGACAUUCAGAUUCUUGAAAGUUGGUUGGUCCUGUGAGAAUUGUCACGAGUUUAUGAAACUGGUUUCAAAGAUAUACCAAAGAGAAAUAAAAAUGAAGGGUAGAAUCCGUUUCCACCAUUUCAAGGAUUGUUAUUUCCUUUUCCAAAGACCAAUGGUAGCAGGGAGAUAGUUACUUGGUUGAUGUUUUUCCUUGAGCAAUAUCGAUGAGAACUGAGAAGCUCAAAAGUUGUAAUAAGUUGCAAACUAUGGAUAUCCAAUAUUAUUAAUCACACAACUGCAACACAAAACUUUGUCCCAAUGAUAAAAAUACCAAAGAUCAAGUAUGUUUCCUGAGUUUUAUCUUAAAUACAAAGUAUUUGGGGUUUAUAUCUCUAGUCUUCUCUAACAAAAGUAAUUUUAAGAGAAUUGCUAGGGCCCUCCACUUAAUCAAUAAACCUUGUUAGACUGGCUUAAAAGAAUGCUACUAACUCUAGCGAUUGAUUAUUUUAUGCAACUAUUCGCAAGCCUUUGUCUUCGUUUAAGAAUUAACAGAAUACUAUUGAACUUGUGACUGAUUACCUGAUUACUUUAGUAACUAUUUUCAUAAUGUCAUUUCCUCAGGUUGUCUAGCUUAUAGUUUAGGUUGGGAUGGGACUAUUCUUUUGUAAGGACACUCUGCUGAUUCCAUGUUGGAUAGGAUUCAAAGUAUACUACUUGAAUCUAGUGGUUGAUUACUUUAUGCAAGUUGCAACUAGUAACCAUAAAGCAUUCAUCCCAAUUCAUCCUUCUCAUAGGUCGCGUGCUCACUCAGCCAAAAUACACUACUGAAUCUAGUGACUGAUUACUUUAUGUAACUAUAGACCAUAAAGUGCCUUCGUCCUGAUUCGUCUAGCUUGUACCACGCGCUCACACAGCCAAAAUAAGUAGGUUUGUAUUGAAAGGCAUUGACCAUGAUAUGUGGAUCCAUUCCUUUUGCUCUUGUAGUUAUACUUCUAGAAUCCAACUUGUCUUAUUAUAUUAGGAAUUUAGUUUGAAUUCGGUUGAUCUGAUCUGUAGUUGCUAUUGAGAGAUUAACUUCUGGUACAAGUAUUGAAUCUUUUCUGUUCCUGCAAAGCUACUUUGAUGCAGAUAUUGUAUAAACAAGAAUUAUUAAGGGAACUGCUUGCGCUCAGAUGCUCACAUGUUUUUACCUAAGAUUAUGGAGAAAGGUUUCUUUACAGCCCACAGUUUGAUUUUGGAGAUUCCCACUCCCCCACCAUAGCCAUUUCUUGAGGUCAUGCAUUAAAGCUUCAUUUUUUAAAGGUAAACCACUUCUUUUAGGUUGGUAGAAUAGGCAAAAGAUCAUGCUAUAAAUUUUAAUAUCUUUAAAAUCAGAUCUCAUUCCCAUUGUUUAAAACACCCCCUCCUCCUCCCUCUCCCCAAUCUGAUACUCGAACCUGAAAUAAUUUGAUACCAUAGAUACUCAAAUGUUGUAAAAACAAGUAGGUUGUCACAUGAGAUUGGUCGAAAUAAAGCUUACAAGAAAAAUUGAUUUUA